rnacentral:snRNA from 1 species
GUGCUUGCUUCAUCAGCUCAUGUACUAAAACUGGAAUGAUACAGAGAUUAGCACAGCCCCUGUGCAAAUUCAUGAGCACUCUAUAUUUUUU